CGGUUUGUGACUUCCACCUGGCUGGGAUCAGGCUUUUGGCAGCGUUUAGGAAUGCGUGUGGGACUUCUUGUACACCCCAAUUGGCAUCUUGGUGUGAUGGAGCAACAUUGGGAGAGGUUGCAAUUGUAUGUCCGAAUCCAAAAUAUCUAUCAGCUUUCUAUGUAUUUGUUGCCAAAAGACAGCUAUUUGUGGGCACGACCACCAAUUGUGUAGAUUCGUACCCUCAGCCGCACCGCAUCUCCAUAGGGCUGUCGGUUUUAUGUCCAUGCGGAACAGCUGUGCAGGUGUCCUGUACC